UAAACUAGGAUUAGAUACCCUAUUAUUGUAAAUGUAAAUUUGUAAUACUAAAUUAGUAGUAGUUAUUUUCUUGAAAAUUAAAAAAUUUGGCGGUAUUUUAGUCUUUUCAGAGGAACCUGCCCUGUGAUUGAUAAUCCACGAUUAUAUAUACUUUAAUUUUAAGUUUACAUAUCGUUGUGGAUUGAAUAUUUUAAUAGAAUUAUAAUGUUCAGAAUUUUUUAUUAAAAAAAAAAUCAGAUCAAGGUGUAGCUUAUAUUUAAGAAGAGGUGGGUUACAUUAAAAUUAUUUAAAGAUAAUUUUUUUGAAAGGGAUUUGAAUGUGGAUUUGAUAGUAAUUUAAUAUAUUUAUUUUAAAUGAUUAUA
rnacentral:rRNA from 1 species